UGGCCAAGGCAGAGUUCAGA
rnacentral:misc_RNA from 1 species